GGCAGUGUAGCCCCGUGGUUAAGUGCAAGGACUCUAAAUUCCGAUGGUCUGAGUUGAAAUCUCAGCUCUGCCU
rfam:Ovis aries breed Texel chromosome 18, whole genome shotgun sequence.